CUCACUCGGAAAAGGAGCUCUGUCCUAACACCUGCUCCAGUUAUAAGAGCUCUAUAGAAGCUCAUCCGUCACCAUUCUGGACGCGUUCUCCGGCUUUGGUAACAUCCCAGAGUGGCCACCACAGAGCUGGAAAGAUGUAAAGAAUCACAAACAUCAAACCCACCAUCUGACCAGGACACCAUGA